rnacentral:piRNA from 1 species
UGGAAGACAAGUUCCCAGUGGCCC